AGUGAACGCUGGCGGCAUGCCUAACACAUGCAAGUCGAACGGAUCCCAUCAGUUCACCGGUGGGGUUAGUGGCAGACGGGUGAGUAAUACGUGGGCAAUCUGCCCUCGAGAAGGGGAUAACCUUGGGAAACCAGGGCUAAUACCGCAUGAGACCACGACCGGACAUCCGGUUGAGGUCAAAGCUCCGCAAGGGGCGCUCGAGGAGGAGCCCACGGCCUAUCAGCUAGUUGGCGGGGUAACGGCCCACCAAGGCUACGACGGGUAAGCGGU
rnacentral:rRNA from 1 species